GUAUGGCUUAGUGGUAGAGUAUGUACCUAGCAUGUACAAGGUCCUGGGUCAAUUCUCAGCAAAUACA
rnacentral:tRNA from 1 species